UGCGGAAGGAUCAUUACCAAGAACCACACAGAAAAGGGAGGCAAAGGGGCCUACAGGGCUAGUAGCUUAUACGUUGUUGAACGUCCUGCCUGGACCCGGAGCCGCCCCCAUCUAAACCCUCUGCGUACCUGUCCCUUCUUGCUUCCCCCGACAUCUCGUCGGGGGGAGGUAACAACCAAAACUCUCUGUGAAUCAAACAGCCGUCAGAAUUAUAAAACAAACAAAAGUUAAAACUUUCAACAACGGAUCUCUUGGUUCCCACAUCGAUGAAGAACGCAGCGAAAUGCGAUAAGUAAUGUGAAUUGCAGAAUUCAGUGAAUCAUCGAAUCUUUGAACGCACAUUGCGCCCCCUGGUAUUCCGGGGGGCAUGCCUGUUCGAGCGUCAUAAAAACGUCCUCCCCCUUCGGGUUUUGUUACUAUCGUUGGGGGGUUUUGGCCUAAUGGGAUAGCGAUUGGCAAUUCGUUUCCCAAUGUCCUAAAUACACGUAGACCCGCCUCCAGAUGCGACAGCACCGAGGCCAUCAACCGUGGAGUUAUGGGAUAUAAUAGGCUUGCAGUAAAAUGCUCACCUCUCUCCACACGCCGAUGGCACGACAGUUGCAGUUGCGGGCGUAAAUUGGAGCCCUUUUCAGGACCCUUGUGGCCUAGCAUCCACCAUACAUAAUUUGACCUCGGAUCAGGUAGGGAUACCCGCUGAACUUAAGCAU
rnacentral:rRNA from 1 species